rnacentral:lncRNA from 1 species
CGCUGCUAUAUUGAGAAUCUUAUAAUUCUCUUCUUGGUUACAUGAUGCGAACAGAAAUUUGAACUAAAAAUUGAUGAUGAUUGCUCAUCUCAACAACAAAAUUGUUCUCCCAUAUCUAAAAAGAUCUUUAACAUAUUCAACAGCAGUUAAUUGUCUGUUCGUUAGAGAUAUUUUGGUCUUUUUCAGAUGCGGUUGAGCAUUUUUUGGAGUGUAAAAAGCAAUUUUCAAAAUUGGUUUAGAAAAUAGGCUUUUAUAUAUGACUAAAACGAAAGGCUUUUGUACUUGGUCUUAUUAGCACUCAUGGUUCAAUUGUUAUUUGAUUGGUUUUUGAAAAUUGAUCUUUAAGUCUCCUGUUACGAAUCGAGCUAACUCGAAUAUAGUUCAAAAUUCAAUUUACUAUUUUAUCCUUUUUUAAUAGGCUUAAUUGCUCUUUUCGUCCCUUAAGUUAUUAUUUGGUAUCGAUUUGGUCCCUUAAGUAAAAAAAAGAUUGUUUUGGUAUUUUAUCUUUAUCUCCGUUACAUGUUUUGGUCCAUUCCGUUAGUUUUAAUAAAAAAACGUUAACUGCUAUCCACGUGUCAUUUUGGCAUUGGCUAAAAAACUUAAUUUAUUUUCUUCAUUUUCUCCACUUAAAUUCUUCAUCUUCUUCCCCCAUUUUCUGGAAAAUAAGAACAUCACCAACAACACUUUCAUGAAAAAGAAAAAGAAAAAAAGAACAACACCA